AAUCAACGCUGGCGGCGUGCCUCAGACAUGCAAGUCGAACGCGAAAUUUCCCUUCGGGGAGAAAGUAGAGUGGCGCACGGGUGAGUAACACGUAGGUAAUUUGCCUUUGGGUGGGGAAUAACUCAGGGAAACUUGAGCUAAUACCGCAUAAUGCAGCGGCUCGACAUCGAGACAGUUGUUAAAGCGGGGGAUUGGAGCAAUCCGACCUCGCGCCUAAAGAGAAGCCUGCGGCAGAUUAGCUAGUUGGUAAGGUAAUGGCUUACCAAGGCGACGAUCUGUAACCGGCCUGAGAGGGCGGUCGGUCACACUGACACUGACAUACGGGUCAGACUCCUACGGGAGGCAGCAGUCGGGAAUUUUGGGCAAUGGGCGCAAGCCUGACCCAGCAACGCCGCGUGAAGGAUGAAAUUUUUCGGAAUGUAAACUUCGCAAGAACAGGAAGAAUAAGUGUGGGACAAUACCCACAUGAUGACGGUACUGUUUGUAAGCUCCGG
rnacentral:rRNA from 1 species